rnacentral:rRNA from 1 species
UAGGGAAUCUUCCACAAUGGACGCAAGUCUGAUGGAGCAACGCCGCGUGAGUGAAGAAGGCUUUCGGGUCGUAAAACUCUGUUAUUGAAGAAGAACGUGUGUGACAGUAACUGGUCAUGCAGUGACGGUAUUCAAUCAGAAAGUCACGGCUAACUACGUGCCAGCAGCCGCGGUAAUACGUAGGUGGCAAGCGUUGUCCGGAUUUAUUGGGCGUAAAGCGAGUGCAGGCGGUCUUUUAAGUCUGAUGUGAAAGCCUUCGGCUUAACCGAAGAAGGGCAUCGGAAACUGGGGAGACUUGAGUGCAGAAGAGGAGAGUGGAACUCCAUGUGUAGCGGUGAAAUGCGUGAGAUGAUGAUCAGCAAGAA